UACGGGGGGGCAAGCGUUGUUCGGAAUUACUGGGCGUAAAGGGCUCGUAGGCGGCCAACUAAGUCAGACGUGAAAUCCCUCGGCUUAACCGGGGAACUGCGUCUGAUACUGGAUGGCUCGAGUUUGGGAGAGGGAUGCGGAAUUCCAGGUGUAGCGGUGAAAUGCGUAGAUAUCUGGAGGAACACCGGUGGCGAAGGCGGCAUCCUGGACCAACACUGACGCUGAUGAGCGAAAGCCAGGGGAGCAAACGGGG
rnacentral:rRNA from 1 species